AUUGAACGCUAGCGGGAUGCCUUACACAUGCAAGUCGAACGGAGUGGCGAACGGGUGAGUAAUGUAUCGGAACGUGCCCAGUAGCGGGGGAUAACUACGCGAAAGCGUAGCUAAUACCGCAUACUAUUGGAGCGGCCGAUAGCGGAUUAGCUAGUUGGUGGGGUAACGGCUCAGCAAGGCGACGAUCCGUAGCUGGUUUGAGAGGACGACCGGCCACACUGGGACUGAGACAGGGCGCAGACGCCGACGGGCGGCAGCAGUGGGGAAUUGUGGACAAGGGGGGAAACCCGGAUCCAGCCAUGCCGCGUAUGCGAUGAAGGCCUUCGGGUUGUAAAGCACUUUUGGCAGGAAAGCGGUACCUGCAGAAUAAGCACCGGCUAACUACGUGCCAGCAGCCGCGGUAAUUC
rnacentral:rRNA from 1 species